rnacentral:rRNA from 1 species
UGGGGAAUAUUGCGCAAUGGGGGCAACCCUGACGCAGCAACGCCGCGUGCGGGACGACGGCCUUCGGGUUGUAAACCGCUUUCAGCAGGGAAGAUAGUGACGGUACCUGCACAAGAAGCCCCGGCUAACUACGUGCCAGCAGCCGCGGUAAUACGUAGGGGGCGAGCGUUAUCCGGAUUCAUUGGGCGUAAAGCGCGCGCAGGCGGCUCUUCAAGCGGAACCUCUAACCCCGGGGCUCAACCUCGGGCCGGGUUCCGAACUGGAGGGCUCGAGUGCGGUAGAGGCAGGCGGAAUUCCCGGUGUAGCGGUGGAAUGCGCAGAUAUCGGGAAGAACACCGAUGGCGAAGGCAGCCUGCUGGGCCGUCACUGACGCUGAGGCGCGAAAGCUAGGGGAGCGAACAGG